UUGACAAAAUGUGGCCUCAGCUUUUGCUACAAGUGUAUUCAUCAGAGUUUGGAGGACAAUAAUAGAUGUCCCAAGUGUAAUUAUGUUGUGGACAAUAUUGACCAUCUCUAUCCUAAUUUCUUGGUGAAUGAACUCAUUCUCAAACAGAAGCAAAGAUUUGAGAAAAAGAGGUUCAAAUUGGACCAAUCAAUGAGUAGCACCAAUGGGUAUAGGUGGCAAAUAUUUCAAAAUCUACUA
rnacentral:lncRNA from 1 species